rnacentral:rRNA from 1 species
CCUACGGGUGGCAGCAGUCGAGAAUCAUUCACAAUGGGGGAAACCCUGAUGGUGCGACGCCGCGUGGGGGAAUGAAGGUCUUCGGAUUGUAAACCCCUGUCAUGUGGGAGCAAAUUAAAAAGAUAGUACCACAAGAGGAAGAGCCGGCUAACUCUGUGCCAGCAGCCGCGGUAAUACAGAGGUGUCAAGCGUUGUUCGGAAUCACUGGGCGUAAAGCGUGCGUAGGCUGUUUCGUAAGGCGUGUGUGAAAGGUGCGGGCUCAACCCGCGGACGGCACAUGAUACUGCGAGACUAGAGUAAUGGAGGGGGAACCGGAAUUCGCGGUGUAGCAGUGAAAUGCGUAGAUAUCGAGAGGAACACUCGUGGCGAAGGCGGGUUCCUGGACAUUAACUGACGCUGAGGCACGAAGGCCAGGGGAGCGAAAGGGAUUAGAUACCCCAGUAGUC